rnacentral:rRNA from 1 species
CCCUUAGAUGUUCUGGGCUGCACGCGCGCUACACUGAAGCUAUCAACACGUUUUCCCUCCCUGAGAAGGGCGGGUAACCUUUUGAAUCAGCUUCGUGGUAGGGAUCGGGGCUUGCAAUUGUUCCCCGUGAACCAGGAAUUCCUAGUAGACGCGAGUCAUAAGCUCGCAUCGAUUAAGUCCCUGCCCUUUUUACACACCGCCCGUCGCUACUACCGAUUGAACGUUGUAGUGAGGCAUUUGGACCGACGCAUCUCAGUUUAACCGCUGGUUUGUGUUGGAAAGACUUCCAAACUUGAGCGUUUAGAGGAAGUAAAAGUCGUAACA